rnacentral:rRNA from 1 species
GACGGAGGAUGCAAGCGUUAUCCGGAAUGAUUGGGCGUAAAGCGUCCGCAGGUGGCAGUUCAAGUCUGCUGUCAAAGACCGGGGCUUAACUUCGGAAAGGCAGUGGAAACUGAACAGCUAGAGUAUGGUAGGGGCAGAGGGAAUUCCUGGUGUAGCGGUGAAAUGCGUAGAGAUCAGGAAGAACAUCGGUGGCGAAGGCGCUCUACUGGACCGCAACUGACACUCAGGGACGAAAGCUAGGGGAGCGAAUGGG